UACCCUAUUCUGACCCUUGACUUGUGAAUGGUGAUUGUCCGGGGUCGGCGUAGGCUAUA
rnacentral:pre_miRNA from 1 species